AGUGAACGCUGGCGGUAUGCCUAACACAUGCAAGUCGAACGGCAGCACAGUAAUAGCUUGCUCUUACGGGUGUCGAGUGGCGGACGGGUGAGGAAUACAUCGGAAUCUACUUUUUCGUGGGGGAUAACGUAGGGAAACUUACGCUAAUACCUCAUACGACCUACUGGUGAAAGCAGGGGAUCUUCGGACCUUGCGCGAUUGAAUGAGCCGAUGUCGGAUUAGCUAGUUGGCGGGGUAAAGGCCCACCAAGGCGACGAUCCGUAGCUGGUCUGAGAGGAUGAUCAGCCACACUCGAACUGAGACACGGUCAAGACUCCGACGGGAGGCAGCAGUGGGGAAUAUUGGACAAUGGGAGCAAGCCUGAUCCAGCCAUACCGCGUGGGUGAAGAAGGCCUUCGGGUUGUAAAGCCCUUUUGUUGUGAAAGAAAAGCAGCAGGUUAAUAUCCCGCUGUUCUGACGGUACCCAAAGAAUAAGCACCGGCUAACUUCGUG
rnacentral:rRNA from 1 species